rnacentral:rRNA from 1 species
UACGAAGGGGCUAGCGUUGCUCGGAAUCACUGGGCGUAAAGGGUGCGUAGGCGGGUCUUUUAAGUCAGGGGUGAAAUCCUGGAGCUCAACUCCAGAACUGCCUUUGAUACUGAAGAUCUUGAGUUCGGGAGAGGUGAGUGGAACUGCGAGUGUAGAGGUGAAAUUCGUAGAUAUUCGCAAGAACACCAGUGGCGAAGGCGGCUCACUGGCCCGAUACUGACGCUGAGGCACGAAAGCGUGGGGAGCAAACAGG